UUGUUUGAUUCAUAAAUGAAAAUGUUACUCAUAAAAUUCUUUGGUUCAUUUUGUCCUUCAAAAAAGAAAAUAGCCCCUUCAAAAAAAUAUUAUACAAAAAAUAGGUUUAAAAUACUUGAAAAUAGGACAAAUUGAUGGGAUACGACAAAAAUGGAAAUUAGGGCUUGACCCAAAAAAAAAAUGGAAAUUAGGGUUAUCUCAUCGUAUAUUUGAUUUUUCUCAAAUCAAGGUUUUCCAUUGCCAACUCAAGACGACAUCACUUCUGGCACUAUCGUAUUUCACUCUCUCACACUGUGAUUUCUCCUUUCAUAUUGUAAUUCUUCGUCAUCCCUAAUCAUCCUUCAACUGUAUUUUUCAAGUUUUUAUUUUUUGGUCUUUCAGUUUUGACUCCAGUUUUCAAACAAUCAGAACUUACCACACUCAUUCAAUCGCAAGGUACUUGCUCAGGGACUCACCUGAAUGAAUAAUAAUGUCUAAUGAAGACAGGCUGAGUGACUUGCCUGAUUGUGUUCUUCUUCACAUUUUGUCAAUGUUGGAUUCCAAACAUCGAGUUCGAACUGGCAUUUUGUCCAAAAGGUGGAAGCAUCUUUGGAAACAUAUUCCUACUAAAAUUUUCAGUCAAGGAUUUUACUACUGGUUGUCCCAUUCUGAGCAGUAUUUCCAAAAUCUUCGAACUUAACUAUAUGUAGUAUUUUAUCCAACUUUACCAAAAUUGAGCUAUCUGCUCCAAUUCUUUGUACCUUUUCUUUUACCUGUAUACCAUGGUUGCGGUAAGUUACAACUUGAUGAGAUUAGUAUUUCUAGACUUUUGUGAAAUACUCUAGAAUUAGUUAUUAGUUAUAUGAAUGAGUUGCUGCCAUUUUGAUUCA